UGUGUAAGCUGGAGGGUGCCUGGGCUGUUCACAGAGAGCCCUCACGGCUGGCAGAAGGCAUCCCUGACUACAUUGCCAUUGAUGCCAUCGGGGUGGUCCCUGCAGGCCAUGCAUGGUCUGCACACGGAGAGCUGGGCUUUCUUUGCCAACUUAUUGCAAAUUCCCACCACAUCUGGUGUCUGCACAGAGAGGUGGCAUGCUAGAUCCUGACGUCGCAGGAACAGGGGCAGGGGCCAUGGCAGUAAGAGAAAAUUUGACAGAAGAAGCCUAAAGGAGGGGAGGGUUUGUCCGGGCUCCCGGUCUGUGAAAGUUUUAUUCGUCAACAGUGGAGAACACACGGCAAAGUUGAAAGUCGCCGGAGUGUGUGGCCAGGACUCCUCAGUCUCCGCAGAAUAGAAACGUACCUCAGGCUAGGACAUGCUGGUGCUAUGACCCAUGAAACGGCCCUACAUCUGGCAGCUAGACGCCUCACCAUGCCCAAAAGGUUCAGCAACCUCUCAGAAAAGUGUCCGCAGCUGGGAAGCUUACGGCACAGUACCCAAACAGCGGUGGUAGCAUCCGGUUAGCUUCUGACAGUUAGAGAGGAAGUAGAACUCUUAUGCUCCAGGCUUGCCUGCAUCCCCUGAAGACAUCCAAGGACUCAGGCCUCUCUAGAGCACUGGGGAUGUGGAGACCCUGGAGCUUCACAACCAGCUAACCUAGUCGAGCCGGUAAGCUCUGGAUCCAGAGAGACCCCGUCUCAAAAACUAAGAUGGAGAGUGCUCGAGAAAGACAUCCCGUGACAACAUCUGGCCUCCACAUGUCCGUGAACACACAUGGGUCUGUAAACCUGCACACACAGGACUAAGAAAAAGAAAGUCACAUAAAUUCAGACCUCACAUAUAGAGCUGAAUGACAAGCACCAGUAUCCAUGCAUGCCCAGAGGCACACACGUAUGCACACACAUGAACACACAUGGGUCUGUAAAUUUGCACGUACAGGACUAAGAAGAAGAGAGCCACAUAUAUUCACAUAUAGAGCUGAAUGACAAGCACCAAUAUCCAUGCAUGCCCACAGGCGCACACGUAUGCACACACAUAAACACACACACACCAUCUGAACACAGCAGCAGCUUCUGUCCCUGGCAAGCAUGCACUAUAGCUCUGCUAUGCCCUCUGAACACUUCUCCCAUUUGGGUGUGGGCUCAGGAAUUCCCCACUUUGCUUGGCUCAGCUUAGAAGUUUCUGGAAUUUACAUAUCCUAACCAAAGUUACUGCUGGACUUCCUGCUUGGAGUUUUCCAGGGCACACAGGUCCAUCAUGACACCAGCCCUUGAUCCUCCCUGGGUAUCCCAGAGACCCUUGAUGAGGUCUGAGGCUCACCAGCAUCUGGUCAACCUCACCAGUGUCACAAAGGAAUGUUCUAGUGGCAGCCAAGAUCUCACCUGCCCUGUUAGGUUUCCUCUCCUGCACAGAGAGUUCUCUCCUUUGUCCUCACACUAAGCCCUGUUCACACCUCUGCCGACAGUUCAGUCUCUUUCC